rnacentral:rRNA from 1 species
ACGCUCGACACCUACGGGGGCAGCAGUGGGGAAUAUUGCACAAUGGGGGAAACCCUGAUGCAGCGACGCCGCGUGAGCGAAGAAGUAUUUCGGUAUGUAAAGCUCUAUCAGCAGGGAAGAAACUGACGGUACCUGACUAAGAAGCACCGGCUAAAUACGUGCCAGCACGCCGACGGUAAUCUGAGGCGGGCGUGGACGAAGGC